UACGGGGGGGGCAAGCGUUGUUCGGAAUUACUGGGCGUAAAGGGCUUGUAGGUGGCCAACUAAGUCAGACGUGAAAUCCCUCGGCUUAACCUGGGAACUGCAUUCAAAACUGACAAGCUAGAGUAUGGUAGAGGGUGGUGGAAUUUCCUGUGUAGCGGUGAAAUGCGUAGAUAUAGGAAGGAACACCAGUGGCGAAGGCGACCACCUGGACUGAUACUGACACUGAGGUGCGAAAGCGUGGGGAGCAAACAGG
rnacentral:rRNA from 1 species